rnacentral:lncRNA from 10 species
CUGGCUGCCAAGGUCAACCAGGUGGAGGCCUUCGGGGUUCGGCAAGAGCAGUUCUGUGAGCUGGCGGAGCCUGGCGUCUGCCUGCGUGACGUGGAGGAACCGCAGGCGGCGACCGCGGACAGAAUCCAUGUAAGACAUGCCUGUGCCUGCUUCCCCUUUGCCUUCUGCCAUGACUGAAAGUUUCCUAAGGCCUCCUCAGAAGCCGAGCAGAUGCCAGCAUCAUGCUUCCUCUAAAGCCUGUGGAACCAUGAGCCAAAUGAAGUCUUGCUCUACCAUCCAGGCUGGAGUGAAGUGGCAUGAUCUCAGCUCACUGGAAUGUCCACCUCCUAGGUUCAAGUGAUUCUCCUGCCUCAGCC